rnacentral:RNase_P_RNA from 1 species
CGAGUCGGCCGGGCGGCCGCGUCGGAGCCUUUCAGGCUUCGCCGAGGAAGGUCCGGACUCCACAGGGCAGGGUGGUGGGUAACGCCCACCCGGGGUGACCCGCGGGAUAGUGCCACAGAAAGCAAACCGCCGCCCGUCACGGGCGGUAAGGGUGAAACGGUGGUGUAAGAGACCACCAGCGCCCCAGGUGACUGGGGCGGCUCGGUAAACCCCACCUGGAGCAAGGUCAGACAGGGAACGUUCGAGGGCGGCCCGCCCGAGUUCCCGGGUAGACCGCUGGAGGCCGCCGGCAACGGCGGUCGUAGAUGGAUGGUCGCCGGUCCCGGUCCGCCGGGAACCACAGAAUCCGGCCUACAGGCCGGCUCGUCCC